GUGGAUAUAGCGCAGCUGGUUAGCGCGUCAGAUUGUGGCUCUGAAGGCCCAGGGUUCGAAUCCCUGUAUCCACC
rnacentral:tRNA from 1 species